GCUUGAUGUAUGAUCGUUGAUGAAACAGGUGUUUUCCUCCCUCUCCCCCAUGCAGGUGAGAAGCCAUACAAGUGCUCAUGGGACGGCUGCGAGUGGCGGUUCGCCCGGAGCGACGAGCUGACGAGGCACUACCGCAAACACACCGGCGCCAAACCCUUCAAGUGCAACCACUGCGACAGGUGUUUCUCCCGGUCGGAUCAUUUGGCGCUGCACAUGAAGAGGCACAUCUGAGGAGCGCACGGCAUGUCAGAAGGGAGUGGAGCUGGUGAGGAAGCAGAGAGGACAACAUCACUUGGGGAGAAAUGUUCCGGAUCAGAGGCAGACGCGCCACGCUUUGGCUUGAACGUGGGCAGGCAACACACGGGUCCCACAUGAUUCCAUGAAGCGUCAUCUUAUCCUCCAAUGGGACCAUGAGCUGGCAGCUCUUGGGUUGAGUCCACUUUUGCCUCGCGUUUAAGCAGUAUUGCCCCACACGCAGCCACUUUUGCGCUCAUAUUCGGUCCUCUUUGAGCAAAAACACCAUCUUGCUAGGUUGCUGUAGCCUUUCUGUUCAGUCAAAGUUUUACUUUUGACCUCUCAUACUUCCAAACUGGAUCCAUUUACGAAUCCUUCUGCUUGGACGGCACUCGUUUGGAUGGCAAUUGCAGACUUGAAAAUUUGGAGUGUUUUUUUUUUUUUGUUUGUUUGCCGGAGCUGAUUGAGGUGAUACAGACGACAGCAGGAGUUUCGAAAUCUCAUCCAUCCGGACUUGCUAUGGAUGUGGUCAACAGCAGGCCGUCUCCUGCUUGAGCCUGAUGUCCGCGUCGUCGGAGCUCACAUUAUUGCACAAUUGACUCUUGGCAAGCCUUUUGUUGAAAAGAAAAGCCCUGGUUUGUCAGAAUGGGAGGAACUUGGGCCCCAUGCACAAGUCAAAGCAGCUUGCUGACUGUCAUCGCACAUCAGACAAGAUCGCCACGUAUGUAAAGGCUACAUUGUUUUGAAGCAAAGACCUCCUCUUUGUUCGGAAUUCCACCAUUCUGAAGAACUUUUUGGGAAUGGAUGCAGCCAAAUAAAAAGUGUCGAUGCCUGAAGUGAUCUCUCGGCCCUUUGAGAGUGAUUGGCACCCGACACGCCACCACGUUGCUCGGCCAUGCAGGACUGUUCCAAUUUAGCCAAGUUGCGUUCAGAAUGCAAUUUUCUCCAGUAGAUCAGGCCCUAUGUAUCUCCUGGGACAUUCCGCAGAUUUAUCCCCUGUAGGUCACGGAAUGAACUUGCAGAAGGACAAAUCCAAUCAACUGGCUGAGAGAUCAAUGUGAAUGUAUUUCUAAUGUGUCUGUGCACGUUGCAGCUGAAAAUGUGAAUGGCGUAGCGGUCGCUCCUUGUUCGAACCGAAUCUCUUUCCACAUCGUUGUUAAUCUAGGAAGUCACGCCGUGACGUGUCACACUUUGUUCCUGUUGACUGUCCGGAGGUUGGGAGCGCAGGUUUCCGUGGGGUCAAGUGGUUAGGGUGGGCCAGGUCUGCCCAGUCAGCAAAGAUAACUGCCCUUUCAGGUCCGUGAACUUCCAACAGAAUGAGACAUGAACAUUCAAAGAUGUGUAGUUGCAGUUCUCUUCGGUGCUUUGACUCCUGAAUCCCAGACGCCAGCUCUGCCUUUUAUCCAGGCGGCACGGACAUAAUGGAGGCGAUGCCACAAUUCUUGUUGACUCAGCUGGGAUCUUUAGCCCAAUACUUAAGAAAUGGAAUUUAUGGGGAUUCAAAUGAGGAACAUGGACACCUGUCUUAUUUCACGUUUAGGAUAGUACGUAAAGCACCAGAUCAGCUCCUUGCAAGCAGUCCGAGUGUUCCGUCCGGAUUGGAUGGCGACGAAAUGAAUACAAGUGGUUUGCACCGUCAACGGCAGCUCGAUGUAUGUCUUUCAAUACUCCAGCUCUGUUGUUGGCAUGAAUGACUGCGUGGAAAUGACAUUUUGGUUGUUUUAAAUGUUCUCAUGGACAACCCUGGACUGGAGCACAGAAAUAUCCCAAAUAUUCUUUGGAAGCGACUCAACUAUUUCUUCUCAAAUGUGCGCGCUGGAAAACUUGGAGUUCAAAUGUGAAUGUUUACUUUUUUAUACUUUUGUUUUAUUUUUGGGUGGUUCACUUAUGUGUCCUUUUUUAUGAAUGAUUGUCAAUUAUGCUGUGCCUGUGUGCGUGUUUUUUUUUUGUCUGUAUUUGCACUGUAAAACAAAAACAAAGUAAAAAAAAAAAAAAAAAAAAAAAGUAACAGCUGAUGUUUCCUGUCCGCUUGUGCACAUCACGCCACUAUCACUGCAUCUCUGUACGGUAAUUGUUUUAUACACAAACUUGUGCACAUGCAUUAGAGCACGCACUUGGCGCGUGCACACAGACACGCUCAUGCGAGAGUGUGCCCCCCCGACCCCAACCACACACACACACACACACACACACACUCACACUCACACGCACGCGCUUGCUCGGUCUGAAGUGCAGGCUGCAGCUUUCAGCAUCGCUGAUCUCCUUCUGAAUUUGAAAUCAGACCCCUUUUUUUUCUACCAGCGUCCCCUUGUUGCCUUCCCCUCCCCUCCACAAGAUAACAACCCUUUCAACUCCCGUCCCCCUACCCUCCCUGCCCCCCAUCAUCUCCCAUCUUCCUCCAUUUUCCUGUGUUGUUGUCUUUCUCCCUUUCUUUCGACUGUAUAAAGUGUUUUAAAAUUUAUCAUUUGUAUAUUAUGAUGUAUGAGGAUGAUAAUGUUCUUUAUUAACGAAAAAUGAGAAAGAUUUAUUUUUGUUACCGGUUUGUUUCAUAAUUCAUUUUUUUAAAUUGGUAUUGUAAUAUCUCUAUGCAAGGACUGUUUGUUUUUUUGUUUGUUAGUUUGUUCUUUUUUUUUUUUAAUUUAAGAGUGUAAUUAAGUGUAAUAAAUGGUAGAUGCAGUUUGGCAUGGAGUA